rnacentral:rRNA from 1 species
UGGGAACGCGAAGAACCUUACCUACUCUUGACAUCCAGAGAACUUAGCAGAGAUGCUUUGGUGCCUUCGGGAACUCUGAGACAGGUGCUGCAUGGCUGUCGUCAGCUCGUGUUGUGAAAUGUUGGGUUAAGUCCCGCAACGAGCGCAACCCUUAUCCUUUGUUGCCAGCGGUUAGGCCGGGAACUCAAAGGAGACUGCCAGUGAUAAACUGGAGGAAGGUGGGGAUGACGUCAAGUCAUCAUGGCCCUUACGAGUAGGGCUACACACGUGCUACAAUGGCAUAUACAAAGAGAAGCGACCUCGCGAGAGCAAGCGGACCUCAUAAAGUAUGUCGUAGUCCGGAUUGGAGUCUGCAACUCGACUCCAUGAAGUCGGAAUCGCUAGUAAUCGUGGAUCAGAAUGCCACGGUGAAUACGUUCCC